CCUACGGGAGGCAGCAGUGAGGAAUAUUGGUCAAUGGGCGAGAGCCUGAACCAGCCAAGUCGCGUGAAGGAUGAAGGAUCUAUGGUUCGUAAACCUCUUUUAUAUGGGAAUAAAGUGAGGAACGUGUUCCUUUUUGUAUGUACCAUAUGAAUAGGCAUCGGCUAACUCCGUGCCAGCAGCCGCGGUAAUACGGAGGAUGCGAGCGUUAUCCGGAUUUAUUGGGUUUAAAGGGUGCGUAGGUGGUUAAUUAAGUCAGCGGUGAAAGUUUGUGGCUCAACCAUAGAAUUGCCGUUGAAACUGGUUGGCUUGAGUAUGUUUGAGGUAGGCGGAAUGCGUGGUGUAGCGGUGAAAUGCAUAGAUAUCACGCAGAACUCCGAUUGCGAAGGCAGCCUGCUAAGCUAUAACUGACGCUGAUGCACGAAAGCGUGGGGAUCAAACAGGAUUAGAUACCCGUGUAGUC
rnacentral:rRNA from 1 species